CCGAGGGUAGAGACCACUGCUGAAGUUUACGUUCUGUCUAUUAAACUCAGUAUCUGUUCAAGUUAGUAAGAUUGCAAAAGAUGCAGUCCUUGGUUACAUUUGGUGUCUUUCUUGUCAUGGCAACAAUAUUACUGUCAUUAGUAUCCGCUCAAGACUGUGAUACUGAGUGGUCUGGGUGCAACAUAGAUGGUCAAAUCUGUAAAUGUGAUAUCAUCAAGUCAUGUGAUAAUCCCUUCAAAUACAACGAUAAAACCAAAUGUCAAAUGAGCAUGUAUGCUGAUGUAUGUGAACCCAGUUCCUGUCAAAAUAAUGGAAUUUGUCUACAGUUGAAAAAUCAAGAAUAUAUCUGUCAAUGUAGUGGUACCGGAUACUAUGGAAAACACUGUGAAAAUA